GAUUGCCUUAUCAGGUGCAAUGCUAAUUACCUUAAGGGUAAUCACCUGUGUGUGUGCUACAUAAAAGGCAGCUACACUGCAUGAUUGUGACACUGAUGAAGGCUGGACGGCUGAAAACAGUUUGUCUUCUGUAAAUAAAGUGCUCUCUUCUCAUUGUGUGCUAUCCUCCUCUGUCAUCUUUUAUUAAUAUAAUAUGGAUAAUGCACCAGUUCUUUUGAGCACAGAGGAAACUCUAUGACAACACUGUUCCCACAGUGUUAUCAUAACUGAUGGAACCGAUGGCUAGAGCUAUGAAGGCAUCAGUAUACUUCAGAGGAAGUUCUUUCCAGAUGGUCGACAAUUGCGCUGACAAGACACAUACACAGAGCACCAUCAGACACAGAGUUGCUGGAGGCAGUGUGAUGCCGCCAAGAGGACGCUAUGACAGCAGGCCCUUUGGAGCAGGUGUCUCUUUGCUGGACCAUCGGCCAUCCUGGGACCGCUCUCCUUCCCUGGCUGUUGGUUCCAUUUCCAGAAUUUCCUCAUCUGGAUCUUCAUCCUUCAGGAGAUACAGCCUCACCUCCUCUGUCUCUCUCUCCCCUGUGUAUACGGUUUCCUUGUCUCUUGUGUGUCCUCUUCCCCAGUCUCCAUGGUGAUGGAGGUCGCAUGGCUCAGGUUCUAUCUGUUUGGCAGCACCUGGAAGUUGUUCAAUGUCUUCUUGAUGAUAUUUUGCAUAUGUGAGAAAUCCAUCUACAAUUUUGUUAUCCUGUUUGUCCAUGCUGUAUUUCUGUAAUUUUGCUUUCUUGCUCUAUUCUGUAGACACAUCUAUUGCAUAUCUGUCCACCCCGGGAGAGGGAUCCGUCCUCUGUUUCUACUAUUCUUUCCCCUGUUAAAGGGGUUUUUAGGGAGUUUUUCCUUAUUUGAAUCAAGGAUCUAAGGAUAAAGGAUGUUGUAUUGCUGUACAGAUUGUAAAAUCCCCUGAGGCAAAUUUGUGAUUUGUGAUAUUGGGCUAUGCAAAUAAAAUUUAAAAGCUACACAGUGUGGGAUUGGAGUUCUAAUGGCCUUAUUUUACUUUUACAAGAGAACAGCUUCAAGGAUGAGGACUCUCUUCUCCUUGGAUAAAUAUUAUUUCAGGGAAAUUUUCCCAACAGUAUUAGUGUUGAAGUGUGUUUUGUUUAAAGACUGGAGGUCGCAAUGAUGAAUGUAAAGUUGAUCUGAAGUGUCUGUGAAAA